UGCAAAAUCUAUGUUGUGGGUCGGAAUCUGCAUGUUGCUGUGGGUCACAUCUCUAAGCUCAAGCAAAAAGGCACUUGCGAAAAAAAGUGGAGCUUCAGUGUUACAUGGCAUGUAGUAGAUCCUCCAGAUACUUUUUCUGACCUGACACCCUCAAGCUCUCAGGUUCUGUAUGCUUAGCUUUUCUGUGAUAUUUGUUCUACCAUCUUGUCUUGCAUGCUAUUGAAUAAAUUGUAACUAUAUGUAUUUGUGAAAGCUGUAGAGUGCUAAUGGCUGCGUGUAGAACAAAUGUAUCAAUUAUAUGGUGGUUUCCCAGUUCAUCUUUCUGUUUAGUUAUUACAUUUGUUCUACACGCAGCCAUUAGCA
rnacentral:misc_RNA from 1 species